UACGGGGGGGGCAAGCGUUGUUCGGAAUUACUGGGCGUAAAGCGUGCGUAGGCGGUUUAGUGUGUGGGAAUUGAAAGCCCGGGGCUCAACUCCGGAUCCGGUUCCCAAACUGCUAGACUUGAGCGUAUCAGAGGACAGCGGAAUUCCCGGUGUAGCGGUAAUAUGCGUAGAUAUCUGGAGGAACACCGGUGGCGAAGGCGGCAUCCUGGACCGACAUUGACGCUGAUGAGCGAAAGCUAGGGGAGCAAACGGG
rnacentral:rRNA from 1 species